GAUAAACGCUGGCGGCGUGCAUAACACAUGCAAGUCGAACGAUGAAGCUUAACUGAUUUCUUCGGAAUGAUUUUAAGUGGAUUAGUGGCGGACGGGUGAGUAACGCGUGAGUAACCUGCCUUGCACAAGGGGAUAGCCGUUGGAAACGACGAAUAAUACCCUAUGAUAUAAACUCUUCGCAUGAAGGGCUUAUCAAAGAUUUAUCGGUGUAAGAUGGACUCGCGUCUGAUUAGCUAGUUGGUGGGGUAACAGCCUACCAAGGCAACGAUCAGUAGCCGGCUUGAGAGAGUGUACGGCCACAUUGGGACUGAGACACGGCCCAGACUCCUACGGGAGGCAGCAGUGGGGAAUUUUGCACAAUGGGGGAAACCCUGAUGCAGCGACGCCGCGUGAUUUAGAAGGCCUUCGGGUUGUAAAAAUCUUUUGUAUGGGAAGAAAAUGACAGUACCAUACGAAUAAGGACCGGCUAAUUACGUG
rnacentral:rRNA from 1 species